AAAUCUGUAUCUUCAUUACUUCUGACAUUUUUUCUUAAAAGGUAUAUGAAAGGUAUAUAAGACACUUUAAAUCAAAUAUUUCUUAGAAAAGUUCAAAAUUUGAGAUAUUAAAGAUGAUGUAAUUUAUGACGUAUUUUAAUGUUUCAGGUUUGGUUAAUUUCUCAUAUUGCCAUGAUGCCUCUAAGAGACCGUUGACUCUUAACGAUUCGUGAUCGUCAUCCAGAUGACCGUGAACCAUCGAAUAUCUUUACGUCGAUGAUGAUCAUGAAUCGAUUCGGAACAUUUUCCAUCGAAGUUGUAUCCGAUAUUCACGAUGCUUAAUAUAACUCGAGGUGGCGGAACUCGUUGGUUUCUCACCAGUAAAAGACGGUGGUGGGACCUCGAUCUACCAAUCCUGGAUCAGAUGUUAUAAGGGAAGGUGCAACGUGUCGGUAUCCGCGAUCGAACUGGUGGGGAUUUCACACGGUUCCUGGAGGAAUUUCGGGAUCUUCGUUGUAUCGUGAAUCCUGCGUUGAGUGAUCUAGUCGGAGAUCGUACGCAAAGUGGCGCGGUGCUUGGUUAUUCGUCUCGAUCGUUUUCAGAUUUCAUCGUCUGACUCCAACGUUUCCGGUCAUCAGCCGGAUCUUUCAGUCGUCGAGCGAAUUUUUGAGGGUUUCGUGAUCUUUUUUCGAACUUUCGUUCAAUCGAAUUGACGGAAGAGGCGCCGGAAGGAAUAAAAAAGAAAUACUCAACACGACGAUUAAUAUUUUGGUGUCGUGAAUCAUCCUCUGUGAAUGCUGAAAAAUGCCACAGGCAGCCCACGAAACGAAAAACAUCUUAACCACGUACUUUAUAUUGAUCCUCUUGCUGAUUUGCCUCUGGUUGUUGUACUCGGGAUUGUUUUAACUCUAGAAUACAUUCCUCGCCAUGGAGUGAAGUAAGAAGCACAAAGAGUAUCACACACGUUCGUCGAUAACCAGAUAUCCUUGAUAGAUCUACGAUUACUCAGGAUAUGCCAGAUACCAGUUUUUCCUCCAUCCAAUUAACGACUGCUCCCUCUCCGCGUCGCUUUCGCGACGAUACCUGUUUCAAAAUGAAGGAGACAAGCGUAAUCCACUUAAGCUCUUUUAAGGUUCUCUAUGAGUUUCAUGUUCGUCUACCCUUUUCCCCCACGAUUUUAUGUAUUUCACGGACACGAUAAUUGGACGUCAAAGAGAUAGUUCUAUUUCUAAUAAAAGGAAUAGCCAAAUUUAAGGUGGUUUCGUCAGAAACAGGGGCGU